rnacentral:lncRNA from 1 species
ACCUGUGGCAUAUGAAAGUUCCCAGGCUAGGAGUUGAAUCAGAGCCACAGCUGCUGGCCAUGGCUACAGCCACAGCAGUGCCAGAUCUGAGCCACAUCUGUGAUCUACACUGCUGCUCACAGCAACACUGGAUCCUUUCACCAACUGAGUGAGGCUGAGGAUGGAACACACAUCUUCAUGGAUGCCAGUCAGGUUUUUAACUGGCUGAGUCACAACGGGAGCUCCUCCACAGCUUUCAGGAGGGGUCGCCACUACAUCUAAGGUUUCUUUUUCAUUCGUGGCAUCUAGAAAAUACGUCCUGUUUUAUUUACAAUAAAAAACAAUAUAACAAUAAAAGCAUUAGAGUUGUGGUAGUUUAAAUUUGGAGGGGAAGUGCUCACAUCUAUUUAUGCUGCGAUUUUGCCUGUAAAUUUCUUUUAAAGGCCAUUAUAACAUUGCCAUUGACCUCACUGCUAAGAUUUUCUAAGAAUUUAGUUUGGCAAGUGCACACAAUUCUUAGGAUGCUCAUUGCAAGAGAGAAAUUAUAAAGACCCUAAAUCCCCUAUAAGAAGAUAUCUCCAAAUAAACAAUGUAUAAAAAUAAAAUGGAGUAUUAUAGUACCAGGACAUAUGUUGUUAAUGAAUGUUUAUUUUCACAGGGAAUAAAAUUAUGUUAAGAUUAUUAAGAUAAUAGUGACUUUUAUAGACUACUUGCUCUGUGCCAGAUUCUACUCUAAGUGAUUCAUAUAUAUAUGUGUGUGUGUGAGUGUUUGUGUGUGUACUCAACUCAUUUAAUCCUCAAAACAACCCUAUGAUGCCUGUAGUAUUAUUUUUCUUCCAUUUUACAGAUGAGGAGACUGCUAUAGAAAGUUAAAUAACUUGCCCAAGGUAACAAACAAUUAAUAUGACAUAUUUGUGUAAAAUAUGGACACAUACACCCAUAGUUAUAAAAUAUUUCUCUUGAUUGAAGAACACACUGGGAAAUAUAUCUUUGGUCAUGUCUGAGGAACAGUAGUAGGAGGGAGACUGAAGUUUUGAUCCAUGCGAGUGGAGUACUUAUCUUAAAAUUAAAUAAAUGGAGAAGUGACCUGGACUGUGUCUACUAUUUAUGGGAAUGCAAAGAAGAAUACUGGGAAGUUCAGACAGAGGAAUCACAUGGAGGUAAAUGGUCUGGGCCAAUGUGAAGGACAGUGAGUACUUGUGGCUGGUCAGAAUGCAGAGUCCAGGAAGUAGAAUGAUGAGGACAUAACAUGGAUCAAUUUAUGCUUGAUACUCAUCUUUUAGAACGCUAUUGCUCAUUGUUUAUACAUGAUAGAUUUGUCAUAUGGACAUAAUGCCAUUGUGAUAACAGGUUUUUGCAAGCUGCGAUUUACUCUUUUUCAUGGUUUCAUGUUCUUCUAUUCCUUUUCUCCGAACUUUUUCUUUUUUUUAGGGCUACUCCUGCAGCAUAUGGAGGUUCCCAGGCUACAGGAUAGGGGUCUAAUUGGAGCUAUAGCCGCUGGCCUAUGCUACAGCUCACAGCAACGCCAGAUCCUUAACCCACUGGGCAAGGUCAGGGAUUGAACCUGCAACCUCAUGGUUCCUAGUCAGAUUCGUUUCCGCUGCGCCAUGACGGGAACUCCUUCUCUGAACAUUAUAUACGUAUUUUAGAAGAAACCAGAUUUUACAAUUGGAGGUAAAAUUAUUUUGUUGAAAAAUAUUUCCCUUCUGUUACUUGUGCCUUUAAAAAAUAACAAGGUGUUAUUCUUUUUCUUCCAAAUUCUUAGUGGAUAAUUUGUUUUCUUUUCAAAAUUCUCACAAUUAAUUCAUUUCUAAGAUACUCCCAGAGAGCAUUUUGUCUCAUUAAACCUCCUGUCCUGGAUGAGGAACUUGGAAAUAGUUUGUCUCAGAUUGAAAUAUCUUUGCUAUGCAAGUUUACACGGGGAGCAGAGCCAAUGAUGACCAUAGGGAAUACUUAAGAACUUGUUCUAACCUUGAGGACAAGAAGAGAUUAUUUCCCCAGGAUAAAAAGUAAGCAUUCUGGUAAUUUGGGGGUAUUGUAAAGAGGGAGGAAAAAAAAAAGAGAGAAGAAAAACAAAAACAACAGCAACAAAACUUACCUAUUUAAGAAUCAAAAUCUGGAUGCUGAAACUGGCUGAAUCUUUGAUGAGCUGUGUGAUGACAUGGCAGUUCCCCUCCUGCAAUACAUACUGUUACAGUAUGGGUGCAUCUUUUGCGUCAGAGUGAGAGGUUUUAUAUUAUAUUAGAACAAUUCUAUCCUAAUUUGAAGGGUGCAUCUGAUAAUGGGAACUGGAGUCAACUACCACAUUCUAAGUGCAUUUCUAGGUCAUAGGACAAGCCUUAGUUAAAACUGCUGAGAAUAUUCUAGUUCUCUUUGAGAGUGUGAUUCUAGAAAUCCAACUUCAGAGCUGUGUCAUACUGCCGUGACAUACAGCCAUACCCUGGUGAUGGAUGAGAGAGUAUUUAGAUAGGGAAAGGGAUUUGGAAGGUAUGUAUUUCACCGCUCACGCUCCUAGAAUAUCAGUGGACUAUUUGUUCAUCUUUACAUCAACACAUGCAAUAAUUAAUGUAGUUUAAAAACAUCUUAAUUUCUAUUUAAGUUCUCACAUAUUGUUUUUCAAACUGUCUUUGGUUAUUCUUGACUGAAUUUUCAUACAUACCUCAAAAUUAACCUCUUGGUUUCUACAAAGAGGAGUUCUCUGGUGAUGCAGUGGGUAAAGGAUCCAGCAUUGUCACUCCUGUGGCUCAGGUUGCAGCUGUGGCACAGGUUCAAUCCCUGGCUGGCCCUGAAACUUCUGCAUGCCACAGGCAUGGCCAUGUUUUCAAUCCUAGUUCUUGUAAUUUAAUUUUCAUUAUGGAGGUACAGUUACUACUUUCUCUUAACAUAAGAACAUGGGUAAAAUCUCUUAAAUGAGAUAGAAAAAUUUUAUUCUAUCCAACAGAUGUUAGAGCAAUGAAAGGAAUAUUAGGUAAAUACAAGCCUCUGAAUUGUUGUUGAUGUUGUUGUUUUUUAGUGGCCACACCUGUGGCAUAUGGAAGUUCUCAGACCAGAGCUUGAAUCCCUGCUGCAGCUACGACCUAGACCUCAGUUGUGGUAACCCAGGUCCUUUUAACCCACUGAGCCAGACCACUGCAGUCAGGUUCUUAACCCACUGUACAACAGCAUGAACUCCAAAUCUUUGAGGUUUUGAACUUGCAUUUAAUUUAUUAUUUUCAGGGCAUUAAUAUAAUCUUUUAUGUUACUUUUUAACAAUUAGCUUUAAUGUGGAAGUUCAAUUUUUUUGGUCACACCCUUGACACGUGGAAGUUCCCAGGCCUCUGGGAUCAAAUCCGUACCACAGCAAUGACCUAAGCUGCUACAGUGACAACGAUGAAUCCUUGACCCAUUAAACUGCUACUGAUCACCUAGGUCAAAAAUGGCCUUUCCUCAUUGCAUUCUCAGAACUCUUUGUUCUUCUCUCAUGUACUCACCUCAUUCUGCUUUGUAUUUAUAUAAAUGACUUUCUAGCAAGACUGAGAACAUCUUGAUAGUAGGAACUGGUUAUUAUAAAUGCAAUAUUCAUGAUACCUAGUCCAAUGUCCUGCAAAGGAUGAGUGCUUACUGCUUCUCUGAUAAAUAAAUGAAUUAAUGGGAAUUCAGUGAGUAGAGAAAAUAUCAAUAUAUCCAUGCGUUUGGGAUUACAAAGGAGAUAGAAAGAGGAUGUCCAAUAGGGAAAAAAAAUCCAGAUGGUUGUUCCUCUUAAACGUGAUAAAAUUGAGCAUCAAUAACAAGAAAAUUCUGACCCUUGUUGCUGAUGUGUUUGUCGUUUCCAUAUAAUGACGGUUGUCCCUCCCAGUGUGCUCUGCUGGGGCUGGGAUGACUGUCUACACACUCUGGGGACAAUGUGUUCUGUAUGGCCUCACAGACGGAAACAUGGGCUAUGCUCUAAGUCUUAUCGGAUUUUGAAUCAAUGCUUUUACCUUCUCUUUAAGAUAAGCCAAAAGUUUCAUUCUUUGAAGAAAAGUGAGAAUGUGGCUUGUUUAUUGUGAGAACAUAGGUCAUCUGAAAAGGCAAACAAUUUUCAAAUUAAAGAUGGUAUCUUGUGGAUUGGCAGAAACAGGAAUGUGAAAUCUGUCCAGGGUUGCAGGAAGAGCCCGCCUUUCUCUGGUUGGGAGCUACUGCUGCCUCAUCUUGGAAUCUACAUACAGAAACUCAAUCUUUUAGUGUCUUAGUACGUUAGCAUUCAAGUGGGAAAGAUAAUUUUCUUGCAUUAUGGUAAGGAUUAUAUAUGAGCUAAUGGCUAUGGACAUGCUCUGUGAAUCAUAGCAUAUGGAUGAUUGUGAAAGAAUGUUUAUAUUGGAAACAACCACUGAUGUGGUUGACAAAUAAUUGAACUGGGAAUUUAAAGGCCUGAAGCUGAGAUCUGCAAAAUUAAAAGCUGACUUUCUCUGGUCCAAGCAGUGGCGGAUGGAGAGAGGGCUGUGGCUCCUCUUGCUUGGCCUCUCCUUACCCCAGAGUCUCCAUAGAAUAGAAAUUGUAAGUCACCGUCUUAUCUCAUUUGAUCCCCACUGCUCACUUAUGUUUAUUAUUAAUCCUACUUUAGAGAUCACAAGCUGAAACUUGUAUGCCUUGCCCCAGGUCACAUAAUCAAUAAAUGCUUGAGCUAAAGCCUCUACACAGGUCAUCUGAUUGUAAACUAUAUGUUUCUAGGAGAGAAGGUGACUCUCUUCACUCUGUGAUGACAGCUAGGGAAUAAUAAUCCUAUGCAUUUACAAAAACUGACUCUAGGCUUUCAAAAUGGAGAAUUUUGUGUGAUUAUGAAAGUGCAAAUCCUCUUAUGUUUAUAAACUUGUAAACUCUGAGGAGAAUGAAUUAUUUGACAGACAGAACAACUGGUCAUCUAUCAUUGCAGAGUAAGGGAGACAGUGUUUGCUGGUAGAAUUUAUGACUUUGAUGUCUCAUUCUAUAUUGUCCCUUUGGAGAUGUAGGUAAGCUUAAUUUAUAUGAUCUGCAUCCACACAGUUUCAUUUCCAUUUUACAAAUAUCUACAGCAAAUCUCAGAGUAUUCUUAGAUUUAUCACUAAAAUUUUAGAUUGGAAGAAACUUUAAAUAGCCUUUUAGUUCAAUACCUGCAUGACACUUUAACCCUCUCUUUGAAAUCAUUGGACUGUGUUCACUCUAGUGCUGUUUGUAUCUCCUUUAGUAAAAGGGCUGUGAGUCUACGGCAGGGGCACAGUGCAGGAAGGCCAUGGGGACUGGGAUCAGAUGUAAGCUGAAAUCCCACUUCUGU